rnacentral:rRNA from 1 species
UACGGGGGGGGCAAGCGUUGUUCGGAAUUACUGGGCGUAAAGGGCGCGUAGGCGGUCAGACCAAGUCGAAUGUUAAAUUCCAGGGCUUAACUUUGGACGGUCGUUCGAUACUGGAUGGCUUGAGUUCGGGAGAGGGAUGCGGAAUUCCAGGUGUAGCGGUGAAAUGCGUAGAUAUCUGGAGGAACACCGGUGGCGAAGGCGGCAUCCUGGACCGAUACUGACGCUGAUGAGCGAAAGCCAGGGGAGCAAACGGG